rnacentral:rRNA from 1 species
UACGUAGGGGGCAAGCGUUGUCCGGAAUCAUUGGGCGUAAAGCGCGUGUAGGCGGCCCGGUAAGUCCGCUGUGAAAGUCGGGGGCUCAACCCUCGAAUGCCGGUGGAUACUGUCGGGCUAGAGUGCGGAAGAGGCGAGUGGAAUUCCUGGUGUAGCGGUGAAAUGCGCAGAUAUCAGGAGGAACACCAAUUGCGAAGGCAGCUCGCUGGGACGUGACUGACGCUGAGACGUGAAAGCGUGGGGAGCAAACAGG